UACGUAGGGUGCGAGCGUUGUCCGGAAUUAUUGGGCGUAAAGGGCUCGUAGGCGGUCUGUCACGUCGGGAGUGAAAUCCCGGGGCUUAACCCCGGGCGUGCAGUGGAUACGGGCAGGCUGGAGGCAGGCAGGGGAGAACGGAAUUCCCGGUGUAGCGGUGAAAUGCGCAGAUAUCGGGAAGAACACCCGUGGCGAAGGCGGCACUCUGGGACGGUACUGACGCUGAGACGCGAAAGCGUGGGGAGCGAACAGG
rnacentral:rRNA from 1 species